rnacentral:rRNA from 1 species
AGUCAAUAGAUACCCUGGUAGUCCAUGCCGUAAACGAUGAUUGCUAGGUGUGGGGGGGUCUGACCCCUUCCGUGCCGGAGUUAAACACAAUAAGCAAUCCACCUGGGGAGUACGGCCGCAAGGUUGAAACUCAAAGGAAUUGACGGGGGCCCGCACAAGCAGUGGAGUAUGUGGUUUAAAUUUGAAGCAACGCGAAGAACCUUACCAGGUCUUGACAUCCACCGAAUCCUGUAGAGAUACGGGAGUGCCCUUCGGGGAACGGUGAGACAGGUGGUGCAUGGUUGUCGUCAGCUCGUGUCGUGAGAUGUUGGGUUAAGUCCCGCAACGAGCGCAACCCUUGUGAAUAGUUGCUACGAAAGAGCACUCUAUUCAGACCGCCGUUGACAAAACGGAGGAAGGUGGGGAUGACGUCAAAUCAUCAUGCCCCUUAUGACCUGGGCUACACACGUACUACAAUGGCCGUUAACAGAGGGAUGCAAUACCGCGAGGUGAGCGAACCCCUAAAAACGGUCUCAGUUCAGAUUGCAGGCUGAAACUCG